rnacentral:lncRNA from 1 species
AUUAGGAAUAAGUGAAUGAGAUUACUUGGAUAGUAUUUAUAUAUUUGAUCUGGUGGUGUAUGGUUAUUAUGCACUUCUCUUGACUUUAUUUCUAUGUGUACAUGUUAGAUUAGUUCGCUCUUGACAACCAGAAUGAUAGAAGCUUUUCAGAUCUUCUGAUGUUAAAAUUUUAUGUUGAGUUCACACAACUAUAUAAUUUUACCCAACAAGUUGUCGCCACAUUUUGGGAUUGUGUUUGUUCAUGGGCGUCUCUUCAUGAGAUGUAGCGUCACAUGCAUGGAAAUGGAGGAUCCAUAGAUCGGCAUGUCCAGGAUACAAUUUUUCUACUUCAGGCUGCUUCCACGUAAGUCAAAUAUGAGGCAUUGUCAACCCAUGAAAUGGCAAAUUCCGGUCGCACAUGUGUAUAUUGUUUUUCAAAUACGUUGUGUGCGGAAUUCUUGUUGUGUUUAUAUAAUUGGGUACUGAAUUAAUUGAUGUAUAGGAAAUAAAGAGGCUGGAGUUAGUUGGUUGCAGAAUGUAUGAAAGAAGGAUAUCUUCCAACGCUUAAUAAGGUGGUGGAGAGAGAGAUAGAGCGUACGGACAAUUAAGCAUUUUGGUUUACAAAGAAGGAUAUCUACAAAUUAUCCUUCUUUCCUUGAUUGAUGCCCUGUUGCUAUGCACGGACAACUAAUUAGUUGUAUAUAUUUAAGUAGUAAGAUUUUGGUUUACUUGAGCUAGGGCUACAAGGAAAAAGGAGCAACACUUGGAGAAGAAGCGAGCCAAAAUAUUGUGUACUGGUACAUUUCAUUACAACUAAGGUAGACGCUUAUUCCAUGUGAUUAUUUAAUUUUGACCCACUCUAUCUUUUGGUUUCCGGGAACUCAUCUCUCUAGAUUGUGGUGAAGCAAGGGGGCGAGUUUUUUAUCGAUCUGAAGCAAGGGGUGUUGCUUAUAUCCGAGUUGUUGCAAGGUGCCUUUCGUCCUCAGUUGUGAAUUCAAUGAAUAUAAAUGUAACCCACACAAAAGUAAUAUACAUGUACAUUAUACAUACAACUGUUGAUGCAUGUACCACUAAUGAUGGCACCUGCUGUGUGUGCUUACAAGUGUAUGUGUAUAAACCAAUAAUCUGUAAUUUGGUUUGUGCAAUCUGAUGAAAUAUAUACAUGUGAAAUUUGAA